UCAUUUCCAGCUCCACCAUUGCUGGCAGCUGUGACUCCCCAACCACCUUUUUCCGUAUUGCUUUCUUGGUUUGUACUGUUUCCACCCCAACUUUUACCACCAGUCCCUCCCCAUCCACUCUCGCCACCAGAGGGAGUUACAUUCUUCCCAGGAGCAGCACCCCAUCCAGAAUUUUCAUUUCCGGAUCCACCAUUGCUGGCAGUUGUGGCUCCCCAACCAGCUUCAGUUGUAUUGCUUUCUUUGUUUGAGCUAUUUCCACCCCAACUUUUACCACCAGUCGCUCCCCAUCCACUCUCACCACCAGAGGGACCAGAGGGAGUUUCAUUCUUCCCAUGAGAAGCACCCCAUCCAGCUUUUUCAUUUUCAGGUGCACCAUUACUUGCAGCUGUGACCCCCCAACCACCUUUUGAUGUAUUGCUUUCUUGGUUUGAGCUGUUUCCACCCCAACUUUUACCACCAGUAGCUCCCCAUCCACUCUCGCCGCCAGAGGGAGUAACAUUCUUCCCAGGAGCAGCACCCCAUCCAGAAUUUUCAUUUCCAGAUCCACUAUUAUCAGCAGCUGUGACUCCCCAACCACUUUUUCCUGUAUUGCUUUCUUCAUUUGUAUUAUUUCCACCCCAACUUUUACCACCAGUCCCUCCCC
rnacentral:lncRNA from 1 species